rnacentral:rRNA from 1 species
UACGGGGGGGGCAAGCGUUGUUCGGAAUUACUGGGCGUAAAGGGCGCGUAGGCGGCCUUCUAAGUCAGACGUGAAAUCCCUCGGCUCAACCGAGGAACUGCGUCUGAUACUGGAAGGCUUGAAUCCGGGAGAGGGAUGUGGAAUUCCAGGUGUAGCGGUGAAAUGCGUAGAUAUCUGGAGGAGCACCGGUGGCGAAGGCGGCAUCCUGGACCGGUAUUGACGCUGAGGCGCGAAAGCUAGGGGAGCAAACGGG